CAUGGUAAUAAUAGUCAAUCGGUUCUAAAACGGACUACGGAUCCGUAGGCAGGGGGUUCGAAUCCCUCUGGCAU
rnacentral:tRNA from 1 species